AAUCUUGCCCAAUGGACGAAAGUCUGAGGCAGCGACGCCGCGUGGGGGAAGAAGGCCUUCGGGUUGUAAACCUCUUUCAGCAGGGACGAAGCCACUCGGGUUAAUAGCCCAGAGGGUGACGGUACCUGCAGAAGAAGGUGCGGCCCACUACGUGCCAGCAGCCGCGGUGACACGUAGGCACCAAGCGUUGUCCGGAUUUAUUGGGCGUAAAGAGCUCGUAGGCGGUUCGGUAAGUCGGAUGUGAAAACUUUGGGCUCAACCCAAAGCGUGCACUCGAUACUGCUGUGACUAGAGUUCGGUAGGGGAGUGGGGAAUUCCUAGUGUAGCGGUGAAAUGCGCAGAUAUUAGGAGGAACGCCGGUGGCGAAGGCGCCACUCUGGGCCGAAACUGACGCUGAGGAGCGAAAGCGUGGGUAGCAAAC
rnacentral:rRNA from 1 species